AUCCAGCUGACGAGUCUCACAUAAGCUAAAACGCGCGUCCCGGAU
rnacentral:hammerhead_ribozyme from 1 species